rnacentral:rRNA from 1 species
AUUGAACGCUGGCGGCAGGCCUAACACAUGCAAGUCGAGCGGGGUUUUCGGACCUAGCGGCGGACGGGUGAGUAAUGCGUAGGAAGCUACCCGGUAGAGGGGGAUACCAGUUGGAAACGACUGUUAAUACCGCAUAAUGUCUACGGACCAAAGUGUGGGACCUUCGGGCCACAUGCUAUCGGAUGCGCCUACGUGGGAUUAGCUAGUUGGUGAGGCAAUGGCUCACCAAGGCGACGAUCCUUAGCUGGUUUGAGAGGAUGAUCAGCCACACUGGAACUGAGACACGGUCCAGACUCCUACGGGAGGCAGCAGGGGGGAAUAUUGGACAAGGGGCGCAAGGCUGAGCCAGCCAUGCCGCGUGUGUGAAGAAGGCCUUCGGGUUGUAAAGCACUUUCAGUAGGGAGGAAGCGUUGUGUGUUAAUAGUACACAGCGUUUACGUUACCUACAGAAGAAGCACCGGCUAACUCUGUGCCAGCCGCCGCGGUAACAC